AUGACCUCGGAUCAGGUAGGGAUACCCGUGAAACUUAAGCAUAUCUA
rnacentral:rRNA from 1 species